CCUACGGGGCGCAGCAGUGAGGAAUAUUGGUCAAUGGGCGGAAGCCUGAACCAGCCGAGUCGCGUGAGGGACUAAGGCCCUGCGGGUCGUAAACCUCUUUUGCCGGGGAGCAGUGGUCCGGACGCGUCCGAACCGGGAGAGUACCCGGAGAAAAAGCAUCGGCUAACUCCGUGCCAGCAGCCGCGGUAAUACGUAGGUGGCAAGCGUUAUCCGGAUUUACUGGGUGUAAAGGGCGUGUAGGCGGGAAAGCAAGUCAGAUGUGAAAACCAUGGGCUCAACCUGUGGCCUGCAUUUGAAACUGUUUU
rnacentral:rRNA from 1 species